AUCUUGCUCCCUCUGUUCAACAAAAAAUGUCUCAAGUUUGUCAAAAUUUGGAUGUAUGUAGAUGUGACUUAGUGUAUAGAUGCAUUCAAAUUUAAUGAAAGUUGAGACAGCUUUUGUUGGACAUAGGGUACAUAUA
rnacentral:pre_miRNA from 1 species